AUGUUUCCGGUCUGGCACCGGAACACACAGUGUCUCCAGUGGCAUUUCACCGGUCUGGCACCGGAACACACGGUGUCCCCAGUGGCAUUUCACCGGUCUGGCACCGGAACACACGGUGUCUCCAAUGGCAUUUCUAGCCCGGUGUGCUCUAUUCCAGCUCCUCGCAGUUGCCUGGCUAGAAUGGGCAUCCAGCCAGGAAGGAGGGUGCCGGCUCAGCGCUCCUGGUCUCCAGUAUACCUCCAUGGACCAGGAUAUCCUGCGCCGGCUCUGCGUACAGUGAGUCUGCACAGCCCUGUGCGUCCUGUGCCAGCGCCCUGCAUUUGCAGGGCAAGUAUAAACAUCCAGCCAGGACGGGUUGUGUCAGCUCUACACUCCAGACCUCCAGUACGCCUCCACAGCCCAGUACGUCCUGUGCCUGCUCCCCGCACUCACCCUGAGGUGCGUGUCCCCAGCCCAGUACCACCAGUGCCAACACCACGCACCAGGCCUCCAGUGCGUAUCCAAGGUCCAGUACUCCCUGUUCCUGCUCCUCGCACUCACCCUGAGGUGCGUGUCCCCAGCCCGGUACCACCAGUGCCGGCACCACGCACCAGGCCUACAGUGCGCCUCGCCAGUCUAGUGCGUCCGGCGACAGUACCCAGUCCAGAGCAUCUGGCGACAGUACCUAGUCCAGAGUGUCCGGCGGCAGUACCCAGUCCAGAGAGUCCGGCAACAGUACCCAGUCCAGAGCAUCCGGCGACAGUCUACAGGCCGGAACCUCCUACGACGGGCUGCAGACCGGAACCUCCUACGACGGGCCGCAGACCGGAACCUCCUACAAAGGGUCACAGUCCGGAACCUACCACGACGGGUCGCAGUCCGGAACCUACCACGACAGGUCGCAGUCCGGAUCCGCCAGAGUCUCCCUCCAGUCCGGAUCCGCCAGAAUCUCCCUCCAAUCCAGAGGCGCCACUCACUCCAGACUCGACCAUCAGUCCAGUGGUGUUCUCUAGUCCGUGGUCGGCGGUGAGGGUUCCCGCUCCAGCGACAUUAAGUAAGUGUGACGAGUCAGAAGUGGAGCGGGGUCCACGUCCCGAGCCAGAACCGCCACCUCAGAGUUAUGCCCACCCAGACCCUCCCAUAUAG
rnacentral:lncRNA from 1 species